GGGGACGAGCUCCUGGGCUUAAYUGUCCGGGACUCGGAAUCAACGAAGUKACUUUGAGCAAACUAGAGUGUUCAAAGCAAGCCUACGCUCUGAAUAUAUUAGCAUGGAAUACACGAYAGGACUCUGGCCUAUCUUGUUGGUCUGUAGGACCGGAGUAAUGAUUAAGAGGGACAGUCGGGGGCAUUCGUAUUNCAUUGUCAGAGGUGAAAUUCUUGGAUUUAUGAAAGACGAACUUCUGCGAAAGCAUUUGCCAAGGAUGUUUUCAUUGAUCAAGAACGAAAGUU
rnacentral:rRNA from 1 species